rnacentral:rRNA from 1 species
UGGGGAAUCUUGCGCAAUGCGCGAAAGCGUGACGCAGCAACGCCGCGUGGGGGAAGAAGGCCUUCGGGUUGUAAACCCCUUUCAGUUGGGACGAAGGUUGGGCCGGUGAAUAGCCGGUCGGACUGACGGUACCUUCAGAAGAAGCCCCGGCUAACUACGUGCCAGCAGCCGCGGUAAUACGUAGGGGGCAAGCGUUGUCCGGAAUCAUUGGGCGUAAAGCGCGUGUAGGCUGCCCGAUAAGUCCGCCGUGAAAGUCCAGGGCUCAACCCUGGGAUGCCGGUGGAAACUGUCGGGCUAGAGUCCGGAAGAGGCGAGUGGAAUUCCUGGUGUAGCGGUGAAAUGCGCAGAUAUCAGGAGGAACACCAAUGGCGAAGGCAGCUCGCUGGGACGGUUACUGACGCUGAGACGCGAAAGCGUGGGGAGCAAACAG